GAUGAAGAACGCAGCGAAAUGCGAUAAGUAAUGUGAAUUGCAGAAUUCAGUGAAUCAUCGAAUCUUUGAACGCACAUUGCGCCCCUUGGUAUUCCGAGGGGCAUGCCUGUUCGAGCGUCAUUAUAACCCCUCAAGCUCAGCUUGGUGUUGGGGCCUGCUGCACUGGCAGCCCUUAAAAUCAGUGGCGGCGCCAUCUGGCUCUAAGCGUAGUAAAUCUUCUCGCUAUGGAGUCCUGGUGGAUGCUUGCCAUCAACCCCCAAUUUUUCUAUGGUUGACCUCGGAUCAGGUAGGGAUACCCGCUGAACUUAAGCAUAUCAAUAAGCGGAGGA
rnacentral:misc_RNA from 1 species